GAUGAAGAACGCAGCGAAAUGCGAUAAGUAAUGUGAAUUGCAGAAUUCAGUGAAUCAUCGAAUCUUUGAACGCACAUUGCGCCAGCCAGUAUUCUGGCGGGCAUGCCUGUUCGAGCGUCAUUACAACCCUCAGGCCCCCGGGCCUGGCGUUGGGGAUCGGCAGAAGCCCCCUGUGGGCACACGCCGUCCCUCAAAUACAGUGGCGGUCCCGCCGCAGCUUCCAUUGCGUAGUAGCUAACACCUCGCAACUGGAGAGCGGCGCGGCCAUGCCGUAAAACACCCAACUUCUGAAUGUUGACCUCGAAUCAGGUAGGAAUACCCGCUGAACUUAAGCAUAUCAAUAAGCGGAGGA
rnacentral:misc_RNA from 1 species